rnacentral:rRNA from 1 species
CGGACGGGUGAGUAACGCGUGGGUAACCUGCCCUGUACACACGGAUAACAUACCGAAAGGUAUGCUAAUACGGGAUAAUAUAUUUGAGAGGCAUCUCUUGAAUAUCAAAGGUGAGCCAGUACAGGAUGGACCCGCGUCUGAUUAGCUAGUUGGUAAGGUAACGGCUUACCAAGGCGACGAUCAGUAGCCGACCUGAGAGGGUGAUCGGCCACAUUGGAACUGAGACACGGUCCAA